UACGAAGGGGGCUAGCGUUGCUCGGAAUCACUGGGCGUAAAGCGCACGUAGGCGGAUCGUUAAGUCAGGGGUGAAAUCCUGGAGCUCAACUCCAGAACUGCCUUUGAUACUGGCGAUCUUGAGUUCGGGAGAGGUGAGUGGAACUGCGAGUGUAGAGGUGAAAUUCGUAGAUAUUCGCAAGAACACCAGUGGCGAAGGCGGCUAUCUGGACGGUUUCUGACACUAAGACUCGAAAGCGUGGGGAGCAAACAGG
rnacentral:rRNA from 1 species